rnacentral:rRNA from 1 species
GAUGAACGCUAGCGGCAGGCCUAAUACAUGCAAGUCGGACGGGAUUUGGGAGCUUGCUCCUAAUGAGAGUGGCGCACGGGUGCGUGACACGUAUGUAACCUACCUUAAUCAGGGGGAUAGCCUCUCGAAAGAGAGAUUAACACCGCAUAAUAUAUUUUGAUGGCCUCGUAGAAAUAUCUAAUAUUUAUAGGAUUAAGAUGGGCAUGCGGAACAUUAGCUAGUUGGUAAGGUAAAGGCUUAACAAGGCUACGAUGUUUAGGGGAGCUGAGAGGAUGACCCCCCACACUGGUACUGAGACACGGACCAGACUCCUACGGGAGGCAGCAGUAAGGAAUAUUGGUCAAUGGGCGCAAGCCUGAACCAGCCAUGCCGCGUGCAGGAAGACGGCCCUAUGGGUUGUAAACUGCUUUUGUACCGGAAUAAACCCUUUUACGUGUAAGAGGCUGAAUGUACGGUAAGAAUAAGGAUCGGCUAACUCCGUGCCAGCCGCCGCGGUAA